rnacentral:rRNA from 1 species
AUUGAACGCUGGCGGCAGGCCUAACACAUGCAAGUCGAACGAGAGGCGGACGGGUGAGUAAUGUCUGGGAAACUGCCUGAUGGAGGGGGAUAAAUACUGGAAACGGUAGCUAAUACCGCAUACCAUCAGAGGAGCCCAGAUGGGAUUGGCUUGUUGGUGGGGUAACGGCGCACCAAGGCGACGAUCCCUAGCUGGUCUGAGAGGAUGACCAGCCACACUGGAACUGAGACACGGUCCAGACUCCGACGGGAGGAAGCAGUGGGGAAUCUUGCACAAUGGGCGCAAGCCUGAUGCAGCCAUGCCGCGUGUAUGAAGAAGGCCUGCGGGUUGUAAAGUACUUUCAGCGGGGAGGCGUUACCCGAAGAAGAAGCACCGGCUAACUGCGUGCCAGCAGCCGCGGUAAUAC